rnacentral:rRNA from 1 species
GACGAACGCUGGCGGCGUGCUUAACACAUGCAAGUCGAACGGAAAGGCCCUGCUUUUGUGGGGGGCUCGAGUGGCGAACGGGUGAGUAACACGUGAGUAACCUGCCCUUGACUUUGGGAUAACUUCAGGAAACUGGGGCUAAUACCGGAUAGGAGCUCCUGCUGCAUGGUGGGGGUGGGAAAGGUUCGGCGGUUGGGGAUGGACUCGCGGCUUAUCAGCUUGUUGGUGGGGUAGUGGCUUACCAAGGCUUUGACGGGUAGCCGGCCUGAGAGGGUGACCGGCCACAUUGGGACUGAGAUACGGCCCAGACUCCUACGGGAGGCAGCAGUGGGGAAUAUUGCACAAUGGGCGGCAGCCUGAUGCAGCAACGCCGCGUGCGGGAUGACGGCCUUCGGGUUGUAAACCGCUUUCGCCUGUGACGAAGCGUGAGUGACGGUAAUGGGUAAAGAAGCACCGGCUAACUACGUG